rnacentral:lncRNA from 1 species
GGUUUCAUUAAUUCAUAUCACAGAUUAAUCUCUGUUCCUGGAAAACCAGUAAGCAAAUCUUUAACGUACCGACCGUCUACGAUUAAUGGGCCACUCAUGUCUGCUCACUCGGCAUGUGAGUCCCAUCCCGUUUCAACGGUCGGUCCGUUAAUUUUCUAAAGUCCGAGAGUCAUGUAUAUUGUCCCUGCAAUCACCACUCAAUAUUUUCCCAUGUUUUGGCUUUACUCGCUUUGUAUCGCGAAUUACUUCCCGAUAGGUCACCCAUCCUUCCACUACUUCAACUCAAGCAUGCUUAACUCUAGAGUUCUAAACGGAUGUGUGACAGAAAAGAUAAGUCAAUUUUGAUGACAUUGGUAGCCAAAUCAAUCCUCUUAAAUCUCCUCAUAUAUCAUAACUCGGGAUGUUACAAUUCACUCUCUCUCAAAGAACGCAACGUCUUUGUUGCGCCCCACGAUAGGUCUUAUGACGUCUUUCAGGUUAGAAUCGAAAUGGCUAACAAACUCUGAUGCCACACUUAUACUGUCCCGACCGCCCACGGUUAAUGGGCCAUCCACGUCCGUUCACUCAGCCCGCGGGCUCCAUCCCGUUCUAACGAUCGAUCCGUUAAUUUUCCAAGGCCCGAGAGUCAUGUAUAUUGUCCUUGCAAUCACCACCUGAUAUUUCUCCGAGUUUUGGCCUCACUCACACGAUAUCGCGAAUCACUUUCCGAUAGGUCAUCCAUCCUUCCACAACUCUAGCUCAAGCACCCUUCCACAACUUUAGCUCAAGCACACUUAACUCUGAAAUUCUAAAUAGACGUGUGAUAUAAAAUGUAAGUCAGUUUUGAUAUAGAUAACCAAAUCAAUCCUAUUAAGCUUUUCAUAUAUCAAGGGAUGUUACAAAAUCAACAUAAAUCCGCGACGUCGUCAUCCACUGGUUCAUUGGGCUUAUAAUCAGAGUCGAGUGUGCUAUUGGCUCAAAUAACAUGCUUGUGUAUACUCUGUUUUUCUAGAGUACUAACAUCUGGUUUGUUCAUGAAUUUGCUUAUAGUAAGACCUUGUUGGUUUCUGUGGUUCUUUCUCUCUCCAUGAUAUGCUCAUUAGAUCACAUGACUGCGAUGGGUGUUCAAAUAUUCCAAUACAAAGCAUGAUGUUUGAACAUUGGGCUUACAAUAUUACCGUAAUAUUAUCAUGGAUUCAUAAGGAUACUCAAACUGUAACACCCCAAAACCAGCCCAUUUAAAAUUUUAAAUGCUAUUAGGUUCUCUGCAGCCCAAUUAGAAAACCCUAGGGUCUUCCCUACCUCUUCCCCUAUAAAAGCAAGCCUCCACUUCUUUUUCUCUCAUCAGAAAUCUAGAAGCGAAGCCCUGCAGAGAAUUCCCGGAGACUGGAAGCCCUAGCCGUCGACUCUUUCUCUCUCUUCGCCGCGUCUCUCUUCUCUCUCUCUCCUCGCCGCGACUCCUUCUCUACCCCCUCUCUCUCCCGGUCGCGUCUCUCUCUCCUCGCCGUGAGCAACCGCGUGAGGUGGUGGUGGCCGCGUGGUGUCAUAGAUCUCAGAUCCCGUUUCUCUUACCUCCUAUUCUCAGAUCCAGAUCCAGAACUAGACUAAGGUGAGGUGUUCUAUUCCAGAUCUUGUUCAUGUUCUUUUAUACCGUUGAAUGAGGAAUUAGGAUGGUUUAGAUCCUGAUUGAUGAUUAGGUUGAUAGAUCAUACUGCAUAAGAACGCUCGUUCUGAUUAAGGACAGUAAAUGUAUUGUUUGUGUUGAUUGAAUGAUGAAUGAGUGAUUGGUUGAUGAACUAAUCUUGAUUGUGGUUGAAAGCUAGGAUGCUUAGAAGGAAUUAAAGGUAGGUUAAUAGCAAACGCUACCCGGUUGAUUAGAUGAAUGAUAGGACAUCCUUGAAAUGGUUGUUUAUUGAAUUGAAUGUGACACCGAGAACGGGUGGCGUCUAGAAAUGAAAGAAAGGAAAGAGUCUAAAGAAAAAGAAAAUGAAUAAAGAAAAGGAAAUGAUAAGAAAAAGGGAAUGAAAAUGAAUGAUUAGAAAAGUACCCGGGAAGGGUGGGAUAAAUUACCCAAGAAGGGUGGGAUAAAUUACCCGGGGAAGGGUGGAAAGAAAGGAAACGCGGCGGCCGUAGCGUUCAAAAACGGCGGAGAUGCGGGGCCAUAGCAUCGGAUAAAAAUGGCAGGAUAAGAAUAGAGGCGCCGGUAAGAUUGAGUCACGCCGAGUCUUGGCGGGAAGGGGUCGUAAUACACUGCAAAGGCGGUCCGAACCCGAGGAACUGGGCGGCGGGCCUACCAGGGCAGGCGACUUCACAGGAAGCAGCAAGAAAAGGGGAGGAAUGGUCCGCUUGAGCUGUGUAGGUCCUAAAGUCCUAGGAUGAUGGGAGGUCUUAAAUAAUAAACCGUAUUCUUUGAUUGAGUGAUGACUGAGUUCAUCACAGUGCUUGAUUGUAAAAUGAAACUUAAUAACUAGCUGAUAGGUUGCAUCGACUGAGUGUAGUGACUAGACGGUUCUCGUUUCGCAUUGAGCCGUAUAGAGGCUCAUGGGGGAGACUGGUCUAGAAUCGCCUCACUGAGUAUUAGUACUCACCCCUCUUUUCCCUCUCCCUUUUUGCAGAACUAUAAGUGGAAAUGUCAACGGUAAGGAAGAAAAUGCAACUGAAACUCAUGGGACCAGAAACGGGACACACGGAGAUGUCGGGAAAAUAGACAUGUGUGUCCUAAACCCCGCGCCCUGGAACCCCGGUUGGAAAUGGGGAGGGGCGGGUGUUUCAAUUGGUAUCAGAGCCAGGUUAAGGUCCCUUAAUACUAACUUAAGGGAUCAGCAUUUCCACUAUUGUCCUUUUCCCUUAUGGUUCUGAUAGACCGCCAUAGUUAAUGUUGAAGGAGAAUUCGAACAGCUCAGAGUCUCCGGACAAGAUCAGUUCAACCAAAAAGUCCUCGUACCGCAGUGUAGUGGAGUUUCAGAGUUUCAGGAAUGGGUAACAAGGAGUUGUAAGGCAAGUAUACAGAGGGAUUAGUCGCCUAGCACGUCAAGUUAAUGGGGAAGGAUAGACGGACGCAAGGCCGAGGCGUGCGCAGCUUCACGGAGGAAUUAAACCCUGCAAAGAAAUGGACUUCUGGCAUUCCGAUAUAACAGUCAAACUCGUUCCUUAUAUAUAAAAAAAAAAAAAAAGGGAGAAGUAUGGGCGCGGGUCCCACCAUCAGGGCGUGGGCCCGCCGACGAGGAAGGAGCAGCCCGGGGCGGCCAAGGGACGGACGGACGAGAUAGUGGGAGAAAACCGAUUCCAGAUUGUGAGGACCAAGCUAAGGAUCAUCUUGGGGUAAAAAGGAUGAUGGAGGAUCAUCUUGGGGUAAAAAGGAUGAUGGAGGAUCAUCUUGGGGUAAAAAAAGAUGAUGGAGAGUCAUCUUGGAGCAGAAUGCAAAAUGUUAAUAAGGAUAUGAGAUCUUCAUAGGGUAAAAGGGCUGACUGUAAAAAGGAUCAUCUUGGGGCAAAAAGGGAUGAUAAGAACCACACCGGAGAUAUUGUCAUGCAGUGUUAAAGCAGCUCUAGUUUGAGAAUUGAUUGAAAACUGCCAUCUAUGCAUGACUACUAUUAUGUUCUGAUCAGGUCUUCGUUUUUACGCUGCAGGAUGUCUUCACCAGUGCAACACGAGCUCGGAGAAAGACGCAUGCGCUAUGGACCAAAAGGGACAAGGGCGUACGCCCGCAAGCCCUACCGUGACGCUUGGGGCGAUGUGGUACCUGCACUCUUCCCAGACGAAGAGGAAAUGGAGUUCGCGGAGCAGCCGAACGCCCCUAUCCAGGAGACGACCGUGAGGCGUCGGAUUUUGAUGCCCCAUUUCCAGCGGGCAGCCGAGUACAGGCGAUUGUACCAGGGUCAGGGUACUUUCCAGUUUGCACCUGAAGUUGACACGACGCCGCCCACAAGGGGCCGAGGGCGCCCCAGGAAGACGGGGCCGACCAGGGCAGGUCCGGGACCGAUCAGGAUGGAGGACAGUGUACCAACGAGGAAACGUGGACGCCCAAGGAAGAUUCCGAGCAUUGAUGCAGAGAGUCUGAGGAGCAUAACUGGAAUAUGUCGGUGUGGAACAUUGACGCAGGCCAGGCAAGGACCGCGCUCAGUCCGGGAGUACACAGAGGAAUUCCUGGAGUUAGCCAAAAGAUGCAAGCCCAAGACAACGGAGGAUUGGUGCCGGUGGUAUAAGGCAGGACUCCGCGAGGAGAUUCGGGGCAAGCUGAUUGGUGUGUUGGAACCAUGGAAAUUCGCCUUGGUGAACCGGAUGGCCGGUCAGGCAAUGGAGGCUGAACGGACACUUACUCGUCGGGUCGUCGCCAUCUCGAGCUCUGAAGAGGACGUAGAGGUGGAUGAGGAUCCACCGGAGGACUCAGAGUGGGAAGAGGAGCCGGCGUCGUCGACAGGGAGUGGCCGUGCGGCUGGUCCUAAGCCGGAAGGGGAGCAGAAGUCUCCAGUACGAAGUGGCUAGAUGAGAUUUCUGAGUCAGCUAGUAGGAGUAGGACACGGUUUUUCUUCCUUCCGUAUUGGUUUUAGCUUUCAUUUCUUGUUGUGAGGUUAUUCGCGGAUUUUGGCGAUACCUUGAGACCUAUUUAUUCGUUGUAGUCCUACUCCAUUUCAUUUAUUAAAUUCAUUGUUGGUUUUAAAUGAUCUUGAGCAAGUAGGAUGUCAUUUCGUGCUUCCCUUGUUUGUGUUUGGAAACUCACCCGAGUUUUGGGAUGUUAAGUUCGAACUGAAGAUUUGGAAUUCGGGACGAAUUCCGAAUAAGAGGGGGAGAAUUGUAACACCCCAAAACCAGCCCAUUUAAAAUUUUAAAUGCUAUUGGGUUCUCUGCAGCCCAAUUAGAAAACCCUAGGGUCUUCCCUACCUCUUCCCCUAUAAAAGCAAGCCUCCACUUCUUUUUCUCUCAUCAGAAAUCUAGAAGCGAAGCCCUGCAGAGAAUUCCCAGAGACUGGAAGCCCUAGCCGUCGACUCUUUCUCUCUCUUCGCCGCGUCUCUCUUCUCUCUCUCUCCUCGCCGCGACUCCUUCUCUCCUCUCUCUCUCUCCCGGUCGCGUCUCUCUCUCCUCGCCGUGAGCAACCGCGUGAGGUGGUGGUGGCCGCGUGGUGUCAUAGAUCUCAGAUCCCGUUUCUCUUACCUCCUAUUCUCAGAUCCAGAUCCAGAACUAGGCUAAGGUGAGGUGUUCUAUUCCAGAUCUUGUUCAUGUUCUUUUAAACCGUUGAAUGAGGAAUAAGGAUGGUUUAGAUCCUGAUUGAUGAUUAGGUUGAUAGAUCAUACUGCAUAAGAACGCUCGUUCUGAUUAAGGACAGUAAAUGUAUUGUUUGUGUUGAUUGAAUGAUGAAUGAGUGAUUGGUUGAUGAACUAUUCUUGAUUGUAGUUGAAAGCUAGGAUGCUUAGAAGGAAUUAAAGGUAGGUUAAUAGCAAACGCUAACCGGUUGAUUAGAUGAAUGAUAGGACAUCCUUGAAAUGGUUGUUUAUUGAAUUGAAUGUGACACCGAGAACGGGUGGCGUCUAGAAAUGAAAGAAAGGAAAGAGUCUAAAGAAAAAGGAAAUGAAUAAAGAAAAGGAAAUGAUAAGAAAAAGGGAAUGAAAAUGAAUAAUUAGAAAAGUACCCGGGAAGGGUGGGAUAAAUUACCCAAGAAGGGUGGGAUAAAUUACCCGGGGAAGGGUGGAAAGAAAGGAAACGCGGCGGCCGUAGCGUUCAAAAACGGCGGAGAUGCGGGGCCAUAGCAUCGGAUAAAAAUGGCAGGGUAAGAAUAGAGGCGCCGGUAAGAUUGAGUCACGCCGAGUCUUGGCGGGAAGGGGUCGUAAUACACUGCAAAGGCGGUCCGAACCCGAGGAACUGGGCGGCGGGCCUACCAGGGCAGGCGACUUCACAGGAAGCAGCAAGAAAAGGGGAGGAAUGGUCCGCUUGAGCUGUGUAG